rnacentral:rRNA from 1 species
UACGUAGGGUGCAAGCGUUAAUCGGAAUUACUGGGCGUAAAGGGAGCGUAGGCGGACAUUUAAGUCAGGGGUGAAAUCCCGAGGCUCAACCUCGGAACUGCCUUUGAUACUGGAUGUCUUGAGUGUGAGAGAGGUGAGUGGAAUUCCGAGUGUAGAGGUGAAAUUCGUAGAUAUUCGGAGGAACACCAGCGGCGAAGGCGACUCACUGGCUCAUUACUGACGCUGAGGCUCGAAAGCGUGGGGAGCAAACAGG